AUCUCAGGGAACGGGGAAUGCUGACAAACAAAGCAAAUUUUGGGUUUUGUCAGGGUUCGUAAAAGGUUGCAAAACAGUUUGCAAACAGUUUUUAGGGUUGCAAAACAAUAUUUCUUCAUGAAUUUAUUUUUACAGAAACAG